UGGGAGUAAGCGAAAGGAAUGCAGAGCUGUGAUAGAGACCUCUGUGCCAGGUGCCAUGAGACAAGCUGCAAGCAACUGCUAGUUAUGAGAACCGUGCCUUGUUGUACUUAGCAUGUUAUUUGUACUGCUCUAUAUAAAUGGCUGUGUGCAGUUAUUAAAUGGCUUUGGCUACUAGUAAUCAUACUGGUGUGUUGCCUCAUCCAUGCUGCUCCUCGGCUGAAUAUUGCUCUCCAGGGAACCUUGGACAAGUUGCUUGGCGACACUAACAUGAAGACAGAUGACAGAAGCUGCAUCCUGUAGUCUGAGGGGAAUGAAGACUGCAAGGCCUUGGGACGAUUGGUGAAAGACUCUGGGGUGCAAGCUAUUUUCUCUUCCCUCCUUCCAUUUUCAGCAGAUUCUGAGUAAGGUCCACUUGUACCAAACAAAAUCUCAAGGACUGGAAGAUAUUCAGACUCUGCAAGCAAGGUGACAUUGGCUGAUUAAUUUAUUUGAUUUGUACCACAGUGGAAAAGUAGUGUAUCUCUUUCAUCUUGAUGAAAUAGGUGAAGAAAAUGCAUGUUUUAAGUGACUGUUUGGUACUCUCCUGUAAAAUGUGCACUGAGAUAAUUAAGAUACACAUGAAUAGAAUGCAAAUAUCAUACUAACUGUGGUGUCAGACAACCUAUCACCUAAGUCCUUAUCAGCACCUGAGGAAUGGAAAGCAGCAAAGACAAUCCACCCUUUGAGAAGGAAUCCAAGUUACUUUUCCUUCAUGAACCCACGCUGCCUGUGAGCAGUGAUGACAUUGUUUUUCAGCGUAAUUUUCUCCAUCAUUUUUGCAGGUGGGAUUGACAGGUCCAUAAUUACCAGGGUCUUCUCCAUUGCUCUUCUUGAAAAUAGAAGCAAUGUUUUCCAACUUUCACUCAAGUGGGACCUCUUCAGAUUUCUAAGACCACUGAAAAAUAAUGUUGGAUUCAAAUUUGUCUUACCAAGAAAUUUGUGUCAUUUCUAAUAGUUUCCUGUAAACCUUUUUCAGGUUCAGAAAGACAAGUAAUGUUAAAUCUAGGAAAAAAAAAAAAAAAAAAAAAAAAAAAGCAAUCAAAACUGAGAACAUAUCAGAAAACAUAGUACAUCACUGGUGUUCCCAUCUUGAAUACUGAAUGAAGUUCUGAUAAAAUCAACUUAAAGAGAAGUACAGAACUAGAAAACAUGUAGAAAAAGAAUGAGGAAGAUGAUCAGAAGUAAGGAACAGACUCCACCUGAAAGAAUAAACAGCCUAUCACUUUAGGUUUGUAAAUCUUGGAAGAGAUUCACUAGUUUGCAUGAUACAAAAAGUACUGUGUGCGCUUUUCAGUAUGCUUCCUUCUGCUCUUAACUCUUAAGUUAUUAUUACUAAGAGAUGGAAAGCACCACUGAAUAUUUCCACUGUUGCUCUCAACUAUAUCUACUGCACACUGAUGUUCACUGUAGAGUAGUUGUGUAAACUCUUCAAAAGAUUAUUCAUACUAAUAUUGCAAAAACAAGCACUUGCAAGUUAUGAUUGAGGAUGCCUUUACAAUAAAGUUUCUGCCCUCUUGUACAUGCAUACUCUAUACCUCUUUUUCCAAACACCUCCUAUCUCAUCAUUGCUUAGGGUGGCUGACACUCCCCAGGUGAGCUACUUAGUCAAUGUUAUGUUCUAUCACCAUAAUUCAGUGACGACACAGUGUAGUUCUUUUGCACUAUGCCAUCGAGCUCAAGCUGUGAACGCAGAAUUAUUCUUUUCCCAUGGGCAUUGUGACUUGAUUUUCCCCCAAGUUCUCUCUUUGACUUUUCAAUUAAGUCUGAAAAUUCUGUAAGGGAAUACAGUAGAUGAAGGGAGUUUUUACUU
rnacentral:lncRNA from 1 species